rnacentral:rRNA from 1 species
AAUGGACGAAAGUCUGACGCAGCCACGCCGCGUGAGUGAAGAAGGCCUUCGGGUUGUAAAGCUCUUUCGGCCGGGAAGAAAUCGCAUGGGUGAAUACCCUGUGUGGAUGACGGUACCGGAACAAGAAGCACCGGCUAACUACGUGCCAGCAGCCGCGGUAAUACGUAGGGUGCGAGCGUUAAUCGGAAUUACUGGGCGUAAAGCGUGCGCAGGCGGUUUGGUAAGACAGGCGUGAAAUCCCCGGGCUUAACCUGGGAACUGCGCUUGUGACUGCCAGGCUAGAGUACGGCAGAGGGGGGUGGAAUUCCACGUGUAGCAGUGAAAUGCGUAGAGAUGUGGAGGAACACCAAUGGCGAAGGCAGCCCCCUGGGUCGAUACUGACGCUCAUGCACGAAAGCGUGGGUAGCAAA